GUUCUACUUCUUCGAUGGUUUUAUUCCUCCCAAAAUGCCCUGAGAGACCUCCAGCAUGAAUCUCCCAUAUCAAAAAAUCACGCACAGACGUUUUCGGGAUACAAAGUUUAUUAUCCCGAAAUAAGUAUCCAUCUUGGAAGUGAUAACCAUUUAUUACACGGUGAUUCUCAUCCUUUAAUGUCAAGUAUAUUUCUCCAAAUUCUGAACAAGAUUCAUAUUCCUCUUUAAGUCUCUCAAAUCCUAUGACUUCAACACUCAUGACAGAUAACAACGUUACUCGACGACUCAAAGCAUCUGCAGCCUUAUUCUCUAUUCCAGAUUUAUGUUUCAAAACAAAUGAAUAUGCUUGCAAAUAUUCAACCCAAUGACCAUGCCUAUGAUUAAGC
rnacentral:lncRNA from 1 species